rnacentral:RNase_P_RNA from 1 species
CCGGGAGGGCGGAGGGUCGCCUCCGGCUUGCCGGGGGAGGAAAGUCCGAACUCCGUAGGGCACGAUGCCGCGUAACCGGCUCCUUGAGGGCGGGAUACACGCGGGAGACGGCGCUUCAAGGCGUCGCCGACGGCCAGUGCAACAGAAAACAAACCGCCCGGUUCGCCGGGUAAGGGUGAAAAGGUGGGGUAAGAGCCCACCGCCCCAAGAGUAAUCGCGGGGGCACGGUAAACCCCAUUGGGAGCAAGACCAAAUAGGGAG